AUCCACUCAAGGCCCUGUCCAGGCCUCUGUUUUACCCACUGCAUCCAGUAGCUGGUGAAGGUGUAGCCAGAAGCCUUGCAGGACAGCUUCACUGAAGCCCCAGGCCUCACCAGCUCAGCUCCAGACUGCUGCAGCUGGACCUGGCAGUGGACACCUGUGGCGAGAAAGACACAGUGGAUGACUUUGUCAUCGCAGGCCCUGUCUCCAUUUCAGAUUUUGAACAGCUGCUCUGGUCCAGUUACAGCCUCAUGAAUACAACAAACACUCUGAUCUCUCCUGUUUACACCUUACUACAAAUGGGAACUGCCAGAGAUUGAUCCAAUUGCCAUGAGGAAAGAACAUGACUUUGAGAGGAUCAUUGAUGAUAAUGUAGAAACAAAUACCAUCGAUCUUCUAUCAGUAAACAAGAGCAAUUUCUCCAUACAGCUAAGCCCCGCCAACACUGGAGUUGCAAGAAUAUGUUACUGCUCCAGACAGAUUGGGCAAACUCAAGUAAAACCACAACAUGUCUACCUGCAGGGCUGGAGAGAUGGCUCAGUGGUUAAGAUCACUGACUGUUCUUCCAGAGGUCUUGAGUUAAAUUCCUAGGAACCACGUGGUGGCUCACAGCCCAUCUAUAGUGGGGUCUGGUAUCCUAUUCUGGUGUUUCUAAAGAGAGCAAUAGUGUCCUCAUAUACAUUAAAUAAAUAAAUAGAUAGGUAGAUAGAUAGAUGAUAGAUAGAUAGAUAGAUAGAUAGAUAGAUAGAUAGAUAGAUAGAUAGAUAGAUAGAUAUUUCUUUAAAAAAAUUAUUGCUUAUAAAAUGAAAUCUACCCCAAGGUGAGUUGAGGACCAGCAGUGGUUAGAAUGGGGCUAAGAAUUCCAGUAUUGAAUAGUUGGUAUGGAAAGAACUAUGUAUUCUCUGUGAUUGUCUUUUUUGAGUCUAUUAACUUGACUUGUACCUGUUGUGAUUCAGAUAUAAUGAUUUUUUUUCAAACUCUGUGAAGAUUCCUUGUUAAGCUCUUCAAGAAAUUAUAAUUUCUGUUUAUUUGAUUUUGUAUAUUUUUGAAAAAAAGUAAUAAAAUGUAUUCACAUAACU
ensembl:lincRNA Gm19331 predicted gene, 19331